rnacentral:rRNA from 1 species
GACGAAGGGGGCUAGCGUUGUUCGGAAUUACUGGGCGUAAAGCGCGUGUAGGCGGUUGUCCAAGUUGGAUGUGAAAGCCUUGAGCUUAACUCAAGAAAUGCAUUCAGGACUGGGUGACUAGAGGACCGGAGAGGAUAGUGGAAUUCCCAGUGUAGUGGUGAAAUACGUAGAGAUUGGGAAGAACACCAGUGGCGAAGGCGGCUAUCUGGACGGUUUCUGACGCUAAGACGCGAAAGCGUGGGGAGCAAACAGG